rnacentral:lncRNA from 1 species
GACAGCUAGAGCAAGCGUUUUCUCUGUUGGAAAUGCUCACCCUUAUGUCUUUCAUUUUUUUUUUUUUUUUUUUUUUUUGUAUUUCCUGUGCUAACAUCGGGCAGUAGCCAAAUUCAUGGUGUAAAGAUGUUGGAGCAGAUCCACAGUCAGCAUUGAGAUGCUGGGGUGUCAGCAGAGCCACGCUGAUUGAUGCUGCUGCAGCACAGCCCCCUCGGACAGCCUCCUGUAACUGAACUGGGAUAUGUUGAUAUCUGUUGUUGUUUCCCACUGGUCUCAUUGGGAACUGAUCCCAGCUUUGUUUCUGCCCUAUGGUCAUCCAGGACCCAGUUCUCCAGACUGCUGUGAGUAGUAUGUAAUCACUGAGUUGGGGAUAUUUGGUAUAUCUUAGUUUUGGGCUGCUCUCCUGUACUUGCUGAGGC